rnacentral:rRNA from 1 species
UACGGAGGGGGCUAGCGUUGUUCGGAAUUACUGGGCGUAAAGCGCACGUAGGCGGCUUUGCAAGUUAGAGGUGAAAGCCCGGGGCUCAACUCCGGAAUUGCCUUUAAAACUGCAUCGCUAGAAUUGUGGAGAGGUAAGUGGAAUUCCGAGUGUAGAGGUGAAAUUCGUAGAUAUUCGAAAGAACACCAGUGGCGAAGGCGACUUACUGGACACAUAUUGACGCUGAGGUGCGAAAGCGUGGGGAGCAAACAGG